UACCCGCUGAACUUAAGCAUAUCAAUAAGCGGAGGAAAAGAAACCAACAGGGAUUGCCCCAGUAACGGCGAGUGAAGCGGCAACAGCUCAAAUUUGAAAUCUGGCCCCCGGCCCGAGUUGUAAUUUGUAGAGGACGCUCCUGGCGAGGUGCCUUCUGAGUUCCCUGGAACGGGACGCCGUAGAGGGUGAGAGCCCCGUACAGUCGGACACCUAGCCUCUGUGGAGCUCCUUCGACGAGUCGAGUAGUUUGGGAAUGCUGCUCAAAACGGGAGGUAUAUCUCUUCUAAAGCUAAAUACAGGCCGGAGACCGAUAGCGCACAAGUAGAGUGAUCGAAAGAUGAAAAGCACUUUGAAAAGAGGGUUAAAUAGCACGUGAAAUUGUUGAAAGGGAAGCGCUUGUGACCAGACUUGUGCCGGGCCGAUCACCCAGCGUUCUCGCUGGUGCGCUCGACCCGGCCCAGGCCAGCGUCGGUUCCCGCGGGGGGACAAAAACUUCGGGAACGUGGCUCCUCCGGGAGUGUUAUAGCCCGCUGUGCAAUGCCCUCGCGGGGACCGAGGUUCGCGCUCUGCAAGGACGCUGGCAUAAUGGUCACCAGCGACCCGUCUUGAAACACGGACCAAGGAGUCGAGGUUUUGCGCGAGUGUUUGGGUGUCAAACCCGCACGCGUAAUGAAAGUGAACGUAGGUGAGAGCUUCGGCGCAUCAUCGACCGAUCCUGAUGUAUUCGGAUGGAUUUGAGUAGGAGCGUAUAGCCUCGGACCCGAAAGAUGGUGAACUAUGCCUGAAUAGGGUGAAGCCAGAGGAAACUCUGGUGGAGGCUCGCAGCGGUUCUGACGUGCAAAUCGAUCGUCAAAUUUGGGCAUGGGGGCGAAAGACUAAUCGAACCAUCUAGUAGCUGGUUACCGCCGAAGUUUCCCUCAGGAUAGCAGUGUUGUUCUUCAGUUUUAUGAGGUAAAGCGAAUGAUUAGGGACUCGGGGGCGCUAUAUAGCCUUCAUCCAUUCUCAAACUUUAAAUAUGUAAGAAGCCCUUGUUGCUUCAUUGAACGUGGGCAUUCGAAUGUACCAACACUAGUGGGCC
rnacentral:rRNA from 1 species